GUGCAGCAGGCGCGAAUCCUUCGCAAUGCAGGAAACUGCGACGAGGGAACUCCAAGUGCCUACGCUCAGCGUAGGCUGUUCUCAAGCCUAGAAAGCUUGAGGAGUAAGGGCUGGGUAAGACGGGUGCCAUCUGUGGUAGCAGUCAAUAGAUUCGAUUUGUUACUGCAAGGCAUAAGCCGCCGCGGUAAUACCCGCAGCCCAAGUGGUGCCGCUUUUAUUGGGCCUAAAGCGUCCGUAGCCGGCCCGGUAAAUGCCUGGGUAAAUCGUGGAGCCCAACUUCACGAAUUCCGGGUAGACUGCCGAGCUCGGGACCGGAGAGGGAGAGGGUACUUC
rnacentral:rRNA from 1 species